rnacentral:rRNA from 1 species
CGCCUGUUUAUCAAAAACAUGUCUUUUUGAUUUUAGGAAUAUAAAAAGUCUGACCUGCCCGGUGAACAUAUUAAACGGCCGCGGUAUUUUGACCGUGCGAAGGUAGCAUAAUCAAUUGUCUUAUAAUUGAAGACUGGAAUGAAUGGUUGAACGAAAUUAAAACUGUUUCAUUUGUAUUAUUUAGAAAUUGGUUUUUAAAUGAAGAGAUUUAAAUUUGAUUAAUAGACAAGAAGACCCUAUUGAGCUUUAAAUAACUUUAAAAUUAAAAAUUUAUUAUUAGAGAUUUAAGUUUUAAAUAUUUUUUAGUUGGGGCGACUAAGGAACAAAAGAAGCUUCCUUUAUUUAUUAGAUAAAUGGAUUUUGAGCCAGUAUUGAACUGAUUAAUGGAAAUAGUUACCAUAGGGAUAACAGCAUAAUCUUCUUGGAGAGUUCUUAUCAAAAAGGAGGGUUGUGACCUCGAUGUUGGAUUAAAAUAUCCUAAAGGUGUAGAGGCUUUUAAGGGUUGGUCUGUUCGACCAUUAAAAUUUUACGUGAUCUGAGUUCAGACCGG